rnacentral:rRNA from 1 species
UACGAAGGGGGCUAGCGUUGCUCGGAAUUACUGGGCGUAAAGCGCACGUAGGCGGCUUUCUAAGUCGGGGGUGAAAUCCUGGAGCUCAACUCCAGAACUGCCUUCGAUACUGGAGAGCUCGAGUCCGGGAGAGGUGAGUGGAACUGCGAGUGUAGAGGUGAAAUUCGUAGAUAUUCGGAAGAACACCAGUGGCGAAGGCGACACACUGGCCCAUUACUGACGCUGAGGCUCGAAAGCGUGGGGAGCAAACAGG